rnacentral:rRNA from 1 species
AAAUUGAAGAGUUUGAUCAUGGCUCAGAUUGAACGCUGGCGGCAGGCCUAACACAUGCAAGUCGAACGGUAACAGGAAGCAGCUUGCUGCUUUGCUGACGAGUGGCGGACGGGUGAGUAAUGUCUGGGAAACUGCCCGAUGGAGGGGGAUAACUACUGGAAACGGUGGCUAAUACCGCAUAACGUCGCAAGACCAAAGAGGGGGACCUUCGGGCCUCUUGCCAUCAGAUGUGCCCAGAUGGGAUUAGCUUGUUGGUGAGGUAACGGCUCACCAAGGCGACGAUCCCUAGCUGGUCUGAGAGGAUGACCAGCCACACUGGAACUGAGACACGGUCCAGACUCCUACGGGAGGCAGCAGUGGGGAAUAUUGCACAAUGGGCGCAAGCCUGAUGCAGCCAUGCCGCGUGUAUGAAGAAGGCCUUCGGGUUGUAAAGUACUUUCAGCGGGGAGG